rnacentral:rRNA from 1 species
ACGCUCGACACCUACGGAGGCAGCAGUAGGGAAUAUUGCACAAUGGGGGAAACCCUGAUGCAGCGACGCCGCGUGAAGGAAGAAGUAUCUCGGUAUGUAAACUUCUAUCAGCAGGGAAGAAAGUGACGGUACCUGACUAAGAAGCCCCGGCUAACUACGUCNCGGCAGCCGCGGUAAUCUGAGCGGGCUGGCAAGGC